CCCCCCCCCCCCCCGAUUACAACAUAGUAGUAUGGGAAUACUUUAAAAUAUAAAUUUAAAUACUUCCACUGAAACAGCUUGUGAGACAAUCUCCUGCUAACCUCUCUGGGACAUAUUUCACUUUAAAAGAAGUGGAGGCAUGAUUUGUGUGGCUCUUGGGGCUUCAGCAUGUUCAUGUUACAUGGAAGCAAGAAGGAGGUAAGCCCUGAAGUAUGAGAGAAGGCAUUUAGCUCCAUGUGAUGCGGACCCUCAUUCCUUUAGGACUAGGAGUCAGCCGCCUUGCUGAGCGAAUGUUUCCAAAGAAUUUAAAAUGGUCUGUAUCUUAAUAUUGAAAUGCAGCAGAAGUGAUAAAAUGUACCUUGAAGAUGACUCAAUCCAGUGAGCUACUCUGCGUAUUUUUGUAUUGAAGGUGAUUCAUUAGUGCCAUCUUCAGCAGGAGGAAUAAAACAAAAAAAAAAUCAAAAGAACUAGUUAAAGCAGCUGGGAAAAUCAAGGGAGCUUAAUUACUUCAGAGUACCAGCACAGUCAGCUACCAGCAAACAGCAUGACCAUAAGGCCUGUGUUGUGACUAUCUGCAUAUAAACAACCACAAAGUUCCUGCGAUGCGAGAUAUUAGAAGGCAGCAUCUGUGUUUCUUUGAUGUUGCUUUUAUGUUUCAAAUGAGAAAGCUUGCUUGUGCUAUAAUGUGAGUUGAGAGAGAGGGGGAGAAGGAAGUUUACGUAAGAGAAAAAUCGUCAAUCCAUUCCUUCUGGAGGCAAAACACAAUUAAGAUUGCUUUGUUUCUCUAAAGUGGAGAAGGCAGAGGCUCUAGAAAUAAGAUUAAUUGGAGACUGAUCCCGGGUCUGUAGUAUCUUGUGUAGUGGUAGAAUUAGCAAUGUAGAAACCUUGUUGAUAGGUGAGUAGGUGACAUGAAUGAAUCAAACUCCUUACACAUAAUGGUAUUGUAUUAAAACAUAGGAAAUGUUAUCAAAUAUCAAUAGAGGAAGGGAGGUGAAUGGAAGUUGGAAGCCAAAAUUAAUGAAAUAUUCUCCUUAAAUCUCCACUAGGAGGUGCUGUUUCAAAAGGGAAGAGGAAAAAGAAAAUUGCACUGAAAGCACCACAGUUCCACAAGUGCACUUUGACAGAAGAACAACGUAACCUUCAUACCUGCCCAAUUUUGGUGGUAGAUUGUCAGACCAUAAAACCUGUAAGUUACCUGCUAAUGGGCUACGUUAUUCAAUGAGCUGCUUAAAAUGUUUAAUUUGGUCCACGGAUUUGUUUAAAAGGCUUUAUGCAGGGAUAUCAAUAGAUUACAGUAACUGGGUAGUUUCACUGUACAUAUGCGUAUUACUACAUAACCAUUCCCUACUGCAAAAGUCCCUGUAGUUGACAAGUUAUUUGACUGGACAAGUUACUGUUCUGUUUCCUGAUAUAGGUAAAUGCUUUUCUGUGGUAAUUUUUAGUGAAACAUCAGGAUAUGACAUCAGGAUAACAUUUGGUUCUGAUAAAUAUCAUAGGGUGAAAAUUUUGUGUUUUCUGAUUAACUCGAUACAUUGUAGAAAUCACGGGAAAAGAGCCCAGGACUGAUUUUUAUAUUCUGCUCAUUUUAAAUAUUAAGCCAUUUACUAAUCUGUAGUUCCAUAACUGGAACUGUUUUGCUGCUAUGAUUGUAUAUUUAACAUAUAUGGGGAAUUUUUUGCUAUAAAAUUGAGACCUGCAUUGCAUUAAUUUUAUUUCAAGUUCUGUGGAGCUUGAUAUAGUAGAGUAUAGCUAAAUAUAUUUUAAGAGAAAUGGUAGCUUUUUGUACAUCAAACAAAGGUAUGUCAUCAUGUUUUUCAUGUAGUUAAUUUCUCUGUUUUAAAGUAUCCACUUUUAGAGGUUUCUGAGUUCUAUAAUGCCAACUGUAGCAUUCGUUUCAAAGAAAAUCUGUCUGUUUGUCUUCUACUGAAUUCUGUCCAGUUAAAGUGUAUGAGUCCCUUGGGUUUUCUUCUGUUUAGGUUUGAGGGAGAAAAAAGAACAGAUUUUGCUUUUAAAAUUUUGGAAAUUGUUUUUUUUUAUGGAGAUCAGAGAAUACUCAGUGGUUUCUAGUAUUUUCCAGUGGGCUGGUUUUCGAAGGGGGAAAAAAAAAACCUCACCAAGAUAAUCUCUUCUGAACAGUGAAUUAUGCUGUGGAUUUUUUUUCAUGAAUGCAGUACAUACCAACUGAGUAUUGCAAUAGGGUUGUCGAAUUUAAUUCGUAGGUUGCUGAUCAGCUACCUGGAAAUAACUUGGUAUCCAACACUGAGGAAUAGCCUCUGCAUUUUCCAUAAUUUAAGUACUACUAAAAUAUUUUCAAUUAGUAGUAUUGCUGAUACUGAUCUCUGGUUGAAGAUGCUCUGCAAAGCUUAGUGUUUCCAGUGGAAUUAAGGAAAUAUUUCCCUGCUUUAGUUUUCCUUAGAGAGGCAAAUAAUAACCAUUAGGGGGCAGCUUAAGAUUUAAACUGGAAUGUACUAGCACUUUCAUACAGUGCUUAAAAUAAUCCAGGAAAACCAGCAGACCAGAAAAAGUGUGGGAAGCCGUGUAACUAGUGAACAUGGUACUAAAUACUCAGAGUAUAGCGACUAAGGUAGAAGGAGAAAAUACCCACAAAUUCUGUUGACUUCAGUCUGGUCUCAGCACUGCUAAAGACCAAGCCAACUUUAAGUGCUUAAUUUUGUUCCAUGUUACUGUGAGGGUGCUAAGUCAUAGGUCAGGGUUCAGUGUGCACAAACGCAAUCAGCUCUGCAGGCAUCCAUUUGUCUAGACAGGAUUAAUAGUGGUAGCUCAGUGUUGUCGCUCCAGACCUAGCACAGCCAACCUACAUGAAUGCCUCUUGUGCAGACAUGGCCUCCCACAGGCAGAAGUGCUGGUUAUUAGCUCCAGUUCUAGGCUCUCUGCGUGCUUGUGAUGCCCAGAGUGGUAAAUGCUCUGAAAGCCGGAGAGCGGAGGCUGUGCUGAAGCUGUCGAAGUGCCUGACCGAGCAGUCACUUCGCAGAACUGGCUGGAUGUCUGCUCACAGUGGUAGCUGGUGGUCAGGUGCUGAGGGUUUUGCGGUGGAGUUAUGGAGCGGCCAGUACACAGAGCUGGUGUGGCUUCAGACUCCGUUCCCCAUGAAAAGGGGCCCAAUUACUGGAUCAAAGAAGGUGCUAGGAGCAGCACAGCUGUGCUCCACUGUCUGAGCUAGUAACUCUGCUGAAGCCUGUGUACCUGCUGUGGGACAGGCACACUGGACAGCUGCGGGAUGAAUGAAUUUAACAGUAAAAUGCAAAACUUACAAGCCCUCCUAUUUCUCUGCAUCAGUUAAUACUAAUAUGAUGUCAGAUCAUGCCUAGGAAGGCCAAUAGACAUGGUACUACUAACUUCAUUUGGGGACUGAAUUUUGCUUCUAAAUAAACAUGUACAAAAUGUGUAAUUAUUUGAUUUAUCAGUUCCUCCUUUGUUCUUCAGCUCAAUCUCUGGGUCAGGCUUCAGACUUUUAUUACAACAGCUACUGAUACAGUAAGUGCUUCAAACAGUUCAGGUAAACAUGACAAACUGCUGUGGGGAAAAUGCAGCCAAAUUUCUUUGUAGCAUAAAUCCAUUCAAAAUCUUGUAGAUAAUGGAGGAAACAUGCAUAGUUUAAAAAUGUAACUUAUUUGCAAAUAUUGUUACAGAUUAUGGGGAGGAGAAUUUUCUGUUUUUACAAAGUUCCUUGACUUCACCUGAAAUAUUCUUUAACUAGUUAGAGAGCUUUCAUGCAUACAUAAACUUGUUUCUUCAAACUGAAGAAGCCACUGUUGAUUUCUAAAGCCAGAUGCAUUUUGGUCUAGCAUGCAGAAUAACAGUGAUGAAUAAAGCUUCCGCCUCCUCUUAAUAGACUUGUCUUCCAGACAUCACCUCUAAUUAGAAGGAAAACACACCACAGCCUACAUGUUUCCCCCUCUAUCUUGGGAACUAGAAUACAGUAAGCAAAUCAGAACUCUUCCUCUGAGUACCUUUUAUGCCAGUGAGCAGAGCUACUUAGCCAUGGGUAAGAAAUUUAACCUCAUCCAAGAAAAGGGUUGUGAGUGUCUUCAUUCCCAGAGGCCACUAGAGACUACACCCAUCUGAGUUUUAAAACUCCCUGGUGUCAUUUAACUAUCCAUCUUCUAGAUAGUGAAAAUGAGUAUCAAAGUCACCAGUCACCAAAACUGAAAAAUGCUGAAAGUUUUAUUGAUCAAAUAAGAGACAAAAUGAACAGGAAAACAGUCUUUUCCCUGUCACUAAGAUGUCUGGUAAGAAUAUUACAUCCAUAUAAAUGAUACGCAAUAAAACUUUCUCUAGCCACAAGAGUUAAGACCACCAGUAUAGCCACAGUGUUUUAUGGUUCUGUUUUCAGAGAGCCCUUACAACUUUGUCCAAAAUACCAAUUUUUGAUAGAACUCAUAAAUAUUUAUUUAUUUCCAUGACAUACAGAUUAUUUUACAUGGUCUUCCAUUUUCCCCCUUAAAUUGUAUCACUUAAAAAGUACAUACUAAGAUUUAAUUAUUUGGCUUUUACUUUUUAACAUUUAAGAAAUCAGAAAAGAUGAUAACAGAAACUGAAAUCGGAUAGCUUAAGAAGGAGCACAAGUUAGUCUGGGUAUGAUAUGAUUCCAGUUUUCCUAGGGGCUCUGCUUUCUUUUCCAAGUGAUCAUCUCUUUCUUCUGCUGCUUUUCCUCUGCUGGGAACUUUCUGCUCCAGGGGCUUCUGAAGUGCAUGCAUUCGUGCACUGGCAUUGUUCCACGUAAAUAUAGUUAUAACUGAUGCUUGUUCCAUUUUGGCAGGUCAGGGUCACCUCUCUUGUGUGGCUGCUGAGCUCCUGGCAACAGCUACAGUCAUGUUGCAUCUGGUUUGCUUCAAUGGAAUACCUAUGCCCCGCCAGAGAAAAAAAGCAUAUCCUCCCAUUAAAAACUGACACACAAAAAAACCCCUAUAACUUUUGGGUUUAUCUAUCUAUAUAUAACAGAAAAAAAUUUUUGUAUAUGUGUCUAUAAAUAUAUAUAUACACACACAAAUGAAUGUGGUUUUAAUAACCUAUCCCUUCAACAGUGAAACUAUUCUUGCUUCCAUUGAGUCUCAGAAUAAGCUCCAUUUUGCUUUAUAGGGCACCUGUUUGGAUCUGCUGUUAACAAUAGGUCAAAACCUGUUAUGUAUAUAUCUUUUUUUGUUGUUGUUUUUAUAUCUGGAGCUAUAAUUUUUGUUGCUGUUAAUGAGGUUUUUUUAGUUCUUUGUUAUCUUUCCUUUAUGCCAAAUUUAGUUCAUAGUGCAUAAUAGAAGACUGAGAAAAAUGAAAGCUGUAGACCAAUUGUUGGUAUGAAAUAAAACCGUCUUACUAAUCUA